AUUUAUCUGGCAACCAGCUGUCAAAAGCAGACGACUUGGUUUGACGUGAAAAGAGGCGAGUUGUCUAAACAACACAAGGUUCUCUGUGUUCCUCGUCGCUUAUGCGAAGGUAAUCAAGUGGAAAUAGGAAUUAUACCCUAGGCCAAAUCAAAUCGAUCGGCUGUGCAGUUUUUCUUUUUUCCCUUUCUUCUUUGUUGCUGCAACAUGAAUACCUGUUUUCCAAUAACGUAGGUACUUGCGUGCCUAUUUUUAGGAAAGUGAAUUUGGAAACGGCCGUCCCGUUGGAACGUGGGCAUAUUGUUAGAAACACUUUUCGUGGUUUGGAAAACAGUCAAAAGCCAACAGAUGCUGCUUGCCUAUUUAGUUGUGUGAAGUAAGGGGAUAACCAGGAGGCCAUUACACACCGUGAAAUCCAUUUGAAGGCUUGAAAAUGAGGCCAUUUUGUAGUGUUGGCUUGCCGAUUUCAUUUACUUUUGUUAGAAAAAAGAUGAUUCGAAAAAUACUGCAGGCAUCCGUCAAUUGUGGCAUUUAGCUUGCUUUAUGAAUCAUGCAAUGCUGUAAUUCCAGCUUUAGUGGAAGAUAAUUUGGAUGUCAUAGUCUUCUUCAAGCUCAUGACAUCUUUUAAUUGACAUUUUCUUUUUUUGGAUAAGCAUCUGAAAUGUAGGCCAACACUGACAUGAAUUUCUUAAUUGGCCUGAAAAGAGAACGCAUUUAUUUAAUCGAUUCAUCGGCGUGCCUGGACGACAUUGAAACGCUCUGACAAAGUCUUCGUUAUUGGACAGAGUUCCUAUGACGCGAUAGCGAUAAGGGCUGUGAGGAUCCUUUUCAAUAAGAGUCCUCAACGCUUGAGGAGUAUUAGUUCCACAUAAACUAUUGGCGUAAGCAAGAAAGAAAACUUGCUCUGGCGUCAAGUUUUCGAAUUUGGUCGAAUCAGCCCGGCCAUUGGCUGCGACGUAGUAACGCUACUUUUGAACCAUUUAGGACGGUGAAAUUGGAGUAUUCGUUAAUGAAGCACGUGGCCCGUUCUUGAUACAGUUCCAGUGUUUUCUCCGACCACCACUGAGCCGUGUUGCCGUACUUGUCACUCUGUCGACCUACGCAAUUUCACUGACAGUCACUUGAUUGAUGAAAUGGGAAUGAAUGUGUUUACCUUCGUCGUCGAAUCCGAUAAUUACAUUCGUUUGAGACCAUCAGAUGUUUUCAUACUUACGCCGAACGCCCUUUUUGAUAAAACGGGGGUUGUAGAAUGGCAGCCGGAAAAGCUGAUUGAUCGUCAAACACUCUUUGAACGUAAACUGAACCUAACGCCAUUCCCAUGAGUUCAUUGACGGCAUCGACGCAUUGAUGUGACCUGGCCAUUGAUGGAAAUGUAUUGUGUAAGUAGGUUAAUUGAGCUGAUUUACACCAACCUCGAAUUGGGUUUGGAAAUGCCUUCAGUCACUUUAGCAAAUUCAAAUUGCACAUCAGCCAUGCGCUGGUUAGUGAACAUGGCCAGAGCAUCCACAAUACGCCAAUGGAUGAAUCGAAAUGAGUUUACCUAACACUCGAGGCGGUGUUUUAUUCAACAGUUGAAUGAGCUGAUUUAAAUAAUUCGGCUCGGCUAUGACAAGUCGUUCCGUUUUCGGGAUCGUGAUACCAGCGGAAGAGUAAAUAGCGUUGAGAAGAAUUAUUGAUGAACAGGCCGUCAGUCCAAUUUUGAAGUUCUGUCAGCGUCAUUGGAUUGUACAUUCGGCUGCUAUUGCGACGAUCUCCAUCUGAAACGGUGAUCUGUUUAGAAUCGACAAUGAAUUAGGAAUACGCUGAAUAACUACUACACGAGUGUCUUGUGUAAUACCGUUGCCAACUGUGACUCGAAUUUCAAAACAGCGUCGACUUGGCUCUCGAUUUCGACGUCAGUGACGUUACUCCGCAGCCAAUCUCUAAUCGCUUUGGCAGAUUCGACUAUCACUUUCUUGUAGGCCGUCGCAAUUGUUGGAUUGGCCGUCAAAUUAACGAGGACUGAACGCGGCAAAUAAAGCGAAUCUUGGUCAAUGUAGAUCGUACUCGCGUUCGUGUGAUCCGUAUCCAAGUCAUUGAAGAUGCUGAUUAAUAUGGGCAAAUUGAAAGUAGUGAGUGCCGACGCUGUCGUGUUCGUCCAGUUGAAUGAAGAAUCUUUCCAAUGAGCCAACGUCAUCGGCCAGCCACCGAACUGACCCAAGUAAUUGGUUAAAGGCGUCAAUCCUAAGCUCUCGUCGCUGUGCAUUUGACGGGCAAGUCUCACUGGAAAUGGAUCCAUUACAAACUAAAAUGUUGGAAGAGUUAACACACACCUGCCAAUUCAUGAGCUAGUUUUUUAUUCACAAGGUCGAAUUGCGACCAGGUCGAUUUCGAUGUUGGAAUUGGAUUCUUUUCGAUCCAUCCGCCACAAGCGUAUUGAAAAAAAUCCUGGCAUGGAUCGGCUGUCGCGUCCAUAGCAUCCGCCAGCUCAAUUGCAGCUAGUUUAUUCAAUUAUUAAAUAGAUUUAAAAUCCCAUUUGAAACAGUUUUUACCUCUGGUGUCAACAUCCGAAGAAACAGGUAAACUGUAACUCAAUCGGAGGAUGACCAACACGACAGCGUAAAACAACUCGAUCCUAGAACACAACAAAAUAGGGGAUAUUAAAACGUAGAACAAACACAUCAAAGAUGAUGUUACUUGUCUGCCAUUUUGAUACGGUUAUUCACAACAGUCGAACGUCUGGACCACUACUAACGCGCGUAGGUUAAGAGAAAGCAGUGUAUGCCUUUUUAUAAGCGGCAAAAUUGAACGGUUGACAAUAAACGUCCACGUCGAGAGGAUACACAAUAA